CUUCUAAGAAUAAUCCACUUAGGAUGAAAGAAAGGGGAAGAAUAUAUCCACUGUGGGAGAAAUAAAACAAUCCUGACACAAAAAGACCCCUGUGUACCCAACAGAAGAGAGACAGAACACUAGUAUUGAAUUAGCCUUAACAGAUUUACAUGCAUGUAAGGUAGCAUGACAAUAACUAUAAAGCUGGCUCAUAUCUCAUAUGCUUUGAACAAAGAAUGGGGAAGAAUGAGAACUGCUUUUACUGCUUCAAAAGAAAAGAGGGUACACCUUGUGACAGUUUCCCCUAUACUGAGAAACCCUCAGCUCG
rnacentral:lncRNA from 1 species